rnacentral:rRNA from 1 species
GUGGUAACGGACUUAACUCCCAACCCCUGUGACAUACCUUAAUGUUGCCUCGGCGGAUCAGCCCGCGCCCCGUAAAACGGGACGGCCCGCCAGAGGACCCAAACUCUAAUGUUUCUUAUUGUAACUUCUGAGUAAAACAAACAAAUAAAUCAAAACUUUCAACAACGGAUCUCUUGGUUCUGGCAUCGAUGAAGAACGCAGCAAAAUGCGAUAAGUAAUGUGAAUUGCAGAAUUCAGUGAAUCAUCGAAUCUUUGAACGCACAUUGCGCCCGCUGGUAUUCCGGCGGGCAUGCCUGUUCGAGCGUCAUUUCAACCCUCAAGCCCCCGGGUUUGGUGUUGGGGAUCGGCUCUGCCCUUCUGGGCGGUGCCGCCCCCGAAAUACAUUGGCGGUCUCGCUGCAGCCUCCAUUGCGUAGUAGCUAACACCUCGCAACUGGAACGCGGCGCGGCCAUGCCGUAAAACCCCAACUUCUGAAUGUUGACCUCGGAUCAGGUAGGAAUACCCGCUGAACUUAAGCAUAUCAAAA